GAGGGUGCUGUUGGUUUGGCGUUGGUUGAUGACGGUGGGGUUGAGGAAGAGGACAGGACAGUUUGGGGAGGGACAACGAGGAGAGGGCUGGUCUGUCUGGCCCAUCAAGGUAGUGACUUGACUGACUUGAGGUCACCUCCCUCUGUCUUUCUGAAGAGACUGGCCUGCUCCAGACCUGUCCCACAGCUUUCUGAACAGAAUGGUCUGUUCCAAACCUGUCCCACAGCUUUCUGAACAGAAAAUAUCUCUCUCCCUCGGUCCUUCUCCUUUUCCCUUCAUCGAGCUCUUUCUCUCUGCAAAGAUGUCAUUUAAUCACUCACUUUUACAAGAAAUGAAAACUCCCCCUGAUGGAGUGACAAGCAAUCAUCAUCAUCAUCCUCUUCCUCCCUGGACACAUCUUUCAGAAAUGUCUUCAAAGUGAAUGAGGUGUGAACCUGACGGUCCCCAGUACCCCGGGUGGUGAUGUGAGCACGGACACCCUUCUCCCUCAUCAGUCUCAAUUAUGGGAUAUUUACACCCUGCCUGGUCCCGGAACCCUGCCAGCCAAGCGGAUAAUGGCUCUCCACUCUCUCCAGUUACCCCGUAGAGUGUAGGGAGCCGACACCCCAUCUCACACACACACACACACACUUCCCUUACAGCUCUGCUUUGUUCCUGGGUGGUGACAUCAUGGCCGUGGGGUUGCCAAUGGGGACUGCGGCAGACUCACUCACACACACUCAAACUUUUCAGAUCUCUCUGACGUCCAGGGGUUUUCACUCUAACCCGUUGUUCUAACACACUGCUAGAUGAGAUGAGGCAGCCUCAGUCCACUAAACUCCCUGUGUCCUAGUCUAUCUGUACCCUGAUAGACUGACGCCAGACCUGGCUCUACUCCCUCGCCCAUGUACGGUGCCCCUAGAGCAGUGGUGUUCAACUCUGACCCCUACGAGGUUCGGAGCCUGCUUGUUCUCUGUUCUACCUGAUCAUCAAUUACAGCCGCCUGAUGUCCCAGGUCUAAAUCAGGCCCUGAUUAGAGGGGAAUCACCCACCUGGUGUCCCAGGUCUAAAUCAGGCCCUGAUUAGAGGGGAAUCACCCACCNGGGGAAUCACCCACCUGGUGUCCCAGGUCUAAAUCAGGCCCUGAUUAGAGGGGAAUCACCCACCUGGUGUCCCAGGUCUAAACCAGUCCCUGAUUUGAGGGGAAUCACCCACCUGGUGUCCCAGGUCUAAAUCAGGCCCUGAUUAGAGGGGAAUUACCCACCUGGUGUCCCAGGUCUAAACCAGUCCCUGAUUUGAGGGGAAUCACCCACCUGGUGUCCCAGGUCUAAAUCAGUCCUUGAUUAGACGGGGGAAAACAAUGAAAGAAUAUCAGUGGAACUGUGUUUGAGGUCCAGAGUUGAAUGUGAGGGCUCUAUAGGGGCCUGUCAACCCAGCAUGCAGGGGGGCUCUGGUCUGGCCCAGCCCCAGCCACGAUGCCCAUCACCCAGGAGAACGCCCUGAGCCACCUCCCCCUGUUGGAGGACUGGCUCCUGGGGAUACAGACCAGGGACCAGCAGUCCACCAUCAGCAGAGACCCGGACCAAGACUCUUACCAGGUUUGUCAUAAAUGCAUAUAGAUGAUGUAUUAUACCUGGAUCCAGUGUUGUAGUGUACAUAGCCCAUCUGUAAAUAGCCCACCCAAUCUACCUCAUCCCCAUAUUGUUUUUAUUUACUUUUCUGCUCUUUUGC
rnacentral:lncRNA from 1 species